UUACACCUGAGCUGGGAGGAGGGGUGCUGGUGCAGCAGCUGGGAAACUGCUUAACUCUGGAAAACAGAGCCCCAGGACCUGCCUGUGGGUAUGAUCUCAGCUUUUGUGUUUUUGAGGAUCCUGACAAAAUGUUUGAGCUCUGGCCCUGUGUGCAGCUGGUGGUUGUUGGUCAUGCCAGCAUUCCAUUUGUGUAUUAACUGAUUUAAUUAAGAGUCUUUCCUCAGAGUUUCUACAGAGUAAUCUUGUAAACAAAAAUUAAAAUGGAAUCUGCUGCUUUGUUAAUCUUGUGUGCGUUCAAACAAGGGCUAGAAGAGAUGGAAGUGCCUCUUUGGUCCUGGUUUACUUGAAAAUUUCAAAUGGAACUGUCUGGGUUUGGUGCCAUCCAUUCUGGCCUGUGAGGGCUGUAUUGGAUAGACAUAACCAGUGACUCUCAGGACUAAUUUUAAAUUAAAUUCCAUGUUGGGAAGAUGAAUAUAAAUGGAUGUACUUUAUUGUGUCUUUUCUUCCAACAGCUCUGCUUUGCUGUCCCCUGUGUCAGAAUGGAGGAGGUGCUGGGAGCAGCAGGGUGUCUCCCUUAGCACAGUCUGUGAUGGGAUGCAAGGCACAGCUGGAGAAGGAAGGAAAAGCUUUUCCAACCCCCCUCCAAGCUUUGUGUUUUUGCACAGAGCUGGAUGUUGGAAUCAGAGCAGCCACCACAAGGAAAGGUUGGGAAAGAAAGGAUGUGGAGUUUGUGGCUUAGCCACGGAUGUCAGGCCCCUCACAACAUCCAUCUGUGCUGCAGAGAAAGAACCCCAGGGCUGGGGAGUUCUGAAACAUCAGCUGCCACCACAGGAAGGAAGGGAUCCCGUGACUGACCCCGUGACCCCUCUUGCCUCCUCAGCUCUUGAGAGGCAUCUGUUGGACUGAAGACUUAAUAAGGAAUUUGAAGAUUAAAAUCCUAUCAGGUGUCUCCUGCAGCAAUGAAUCGACCACAUUACAAG